rnacentral:rRNA from 1 species
GUGGGGAAUAUUGGGCAAUGGGGGAAACCCUGACCCAGCAACGCCGCGUGAAGGAAGAAGGUUUUCGGAUCGUAAACUUCUAUCCUUGGUGAAGAUAAUGACGGUAGCCAAGAAGGAAGCCCCGGCUAACUACGUGCCAGCAGCCGCGGUAAUACGUAGGGGGCAAGCGUUGUCCGGAAUGAUUGGGCGUAAAGGGCGCGUAGGCGGCCUGGUAAGUCCGGAGUGAAAGUCCUGCUUUUAAGGUGGGAAUUGCUUUGGAUACUGUCGGGCUUGAGUGCAGGAGAGGUAAGCGGAAUUCCCGGUGUAGCGGUGAAAUGCGUAGAGAUCGGGAGGAACACCAGUGGCGAAGGCGGCUUACUGGACUGUAACUGACGCUGAGGCGCGAAAGUGUGGGGAGCAAACAGGAUUAGAUACCCGUGUAGUCC